GCAGAUAUGGCCGAGCGGUUAAGGCGACUGACUCGAAAUCAGUUUCCAUCUUGGAGCGUAGGUUCGAAUCCUACUAUCUGCG
rnacentral:tRNA from 1 species